GGGAACCGGAGGGUGCUGGGAGGAGAGCAGCAGCCCUGCCUUGGGGUCCUGCCGGUCUUUUUAUGGGGCUUCCCGCCUCAGAUCCAGAAGCAGAAGGUGAAAGAGGGCAGGAUGCAUGGUUGCAGAGUGGAGAAGGGUGAAGGAAAGGAAAUGGCCUGUGUCACAGAGGGAGCACAGAGGACAGGAGGGCUGUCCUUCGUGGAUGAGGACUGGGACACUGAGGAAGCUGAUUUCUGAGCCAAGGGCCCACCCUCAGCAGGAGCAGCAAAUAGAUGCUCAAGCCAUCUGAUUCCUUGACCACACCCCCAGCCCCCCAGCCCCUUGGAUAAGGAUGCUGUCCAGAAAGAUUGUAAAUUGCUUUGAAAGCACCAGGUUUACAGGGACACCAUGGUCUGACUCACGUGGACAGCUGCAACAACAAAGGAGUCCAAG